rnacentral:rRNA from 1 species
GAUGAACGCUGGCGGCGUGCCUAAUACAUGCAAGUCGAGCGAACGGACGAGAAGCUUGCUUUUCUGAUGUUAGCGGCGGACGGGUGAGUAACACGUGGAUAACCUACCUAUAAGACUGGGAUAACUUCGGGAAACCGGAGCUAAUACCGGAUAAUAUUUUGAACCGCAAGGUUCAAAAGUGAAAGACGGUCUUGCUGUCACUUAUAGAUGGAUCCGCGCUGCAUUAGCUAGUUGGUAAGGUAACGGCUUACCAAGGCAACGAUGCAUAGCCGACCUGAGAGGGUGGUCGGCCACACUGGAACUGAGGCACAGUCCAGACUCCUACGGGAGGCAGCAGUAGGGAAUCUUCCGCGAUGGGCGAGAGCCUGACGGAGCAACGCCGCGUGAGUGAUGAAGGUCUUCGGAUCCUAAAACUCUGUUAUUAGGGAAGAACAUAUGUUUAAGUAACUGUGCACAUCUUGACGGUACCUAAUCAGAAAGCCCCGGCUAACUACGUG